rnacentral:tRNA from 1 species
CGAAGCAUAGAUCAAUGGCAGAUCAUACGGCUUUACACACCCCAGCCGUAAAUUCUGGUUCGAUUCCGGGUGCUUCGUA